rnacentral:pre_miRNA from 1 species
AAGCGUUCAUCCGCACGCAGUGGCCGGUCUACUUGGGUUUGUUGAGGACGAUUAAACCCAAGUAGACCGGCCACUGCGUGCGGAUGAACGCUUACUC